UACAUGUGGGGCAAGCGUUGUUCGGAAUCACUGGGCAUAAAGGGUGCGUAGGCGGCUUGUUAAGUCAGGGGUGAAAUCCGGUGGCCCAACCAUCGAACUGCCUUUGAUACUGAUGAGCUUGAGUGCGUGAGGGGUAACCGGAACGAGUAGUGUAGCGGUGAAAUGCGUAGAUAUUACUCGGAAGGCCAAAGGCGAAGGCAGGUUACUGGUACGCAACUGACGCUGAGGCACGAAAGCGUGGGGAGCAAACAGG
rnacentral:rRNA from 1 species